GCCCUAGUAUAGCAUUAUACCGCGAAACUGCGAAUGGCUCAUUAAAUCAGUUAUCGUUUAUUUGAUAGUACCUUACUACAUGGAUAACCGUGGUAAUUCUAGAGCUAAUACAUGCUAAAAACCCCAACUCACGAAGGGGUGUAUUUAUUAGAUUAAAAACCAAUGCCCUUCGGGGCUUCUUGGUGAUUCAUAAUAACUUCUCGAAUCGCAUGGCCUUGCGCCGGCGAUGGUUCAUUCAAAUUUCUGCCCUAUCAACUUUCGAUGGCAGGGUCUUGGCCUGCCAUGGUUACAACGGGUAACGGAGGGUUAGGGCUCGACCCCGGAGAAGGAGCCUGAGAAACGGCUACUACAUCCAAGGAAGGCAGCAGGCGCGCAAAUUACCCAAUCCCGACUCGGGGAGGUAGUGACAAUAAAUACUGAUACAGGGCUCUUUUGGGUCUUGUAAUUGGAAUGAGUACAAUUUAAAUCCCUUAACGAGGAACAAUUGGAGGGCAAGUCUGGUGCCAGCAGCCGCGGUAAUUCCAGCUCCAAUAGCGUAUAUUAAAGUUGUUGCAGUUAAAAAGCUCGUAGUUGAACCUUGGGCCUGGCUGGCCGGUCCGCCUCACCGCGUGCACUGGUUCGGCCGGGCCUUUCCCUCUGGGGAACCGCAUGCCCUUCACUGGGUGUGUCGGGGAACCAGGACUUUUACUGUGAAAAAAUUAGAGUGUUCAAAGCAGGCCUAUGCUCGAAUACAUUAGCAUGGAAUAAUAGAAUAGGACGUGUGGUUCUAUUUUGUUGGUUUCUAGGACCGCCGUAAUGAUUAAUAGGGACAGUCGGGGGCGUCAGUAUUCCAUUGUCAGAGUGAAAUUCUUGGAUUUAUGGAAGACUAACUA
rnacentral:rRNA from 1 species